rnacentral:rRNA from 1 species
GAGUUUGAUUAUGGCUCAGAUUGAACGCUGGCGGCAGGCUUAACACAUGCAAGUCGAACGAUGAUUACUAGCUUGCUAGUAUGAUUAGUGGCGAACGGGUGAGUAAUGCUUAGGAAUCUGCCUAUUAGUGGGGGACAACAUUCCGAAAGGAAUGCUAAUACCGCAUACGUCCUACGGGAGAAAGCAGGGGAUCUUUUGACCUUGCGCUAAUAGAUGAGCCUAAGUCGGAUUAGCUAGUUGGUGGGGUAAAGGCCUACCAAGGCGACGAUCUGUAGCUGGUCUGAGAGGAUGAUCAGCCACACUGGGACUGAGACACGGCCCAGACUCCUACGGGAGGCAGCAGUGGGGAAUAUUGGACAAUGGGCGAAAGCCUGAUCCAGCCAUGCCGCGUGUGUGAAGAAGGCCUUUUGGUUGUAAAGCACUUUAAGUGGGGAGGAAAAGCUAAUAAUUAAUACCUAUUAGCCCUGAC